AGAGUUUGAUCCUGGCUCAGAAUCAACGCUGGCGGCGUGCCUAACACAUGCAAGUCGAACGCGACUUAGGCUUCGGUCUAAGUUGAGUGGCGAACUGGGUGAGUAACACGUGGGUGACCUACCUUCGAGUGGGGGAUAACGUCCCGAAAGGGACGCUAAUACCGCAUAACAUCCUGCCUUUGAACAGGUGGAGAUCAAAGCCGGGGAUCGCAAGACCUGGCGCUUGAUGAGGGGCCCGCGCCUGAUUAGCUAGUUGGUGGGGUAAUGGCUCACCAAGGCGACGAUCAGUAUCCGGCCUGAGAGGGCGGACGGACACACUGGGACUGAGACACGGCCCAGACUCCUACGGGAGGCAGCAGUGGGGAAUUGUUCGCAAUGGGCGCAAGCCUGACGACGCAACGCCGCGUGGAGGAUGAAGGUCUUCGGAUUGUAACUCCUGUUGCUCGGGACGAAAAGC
rnacentral:rRNA from 1 species